AUUGAACGCUGGCGGCAUGCCUUACACAUGCAAGUCGAACGGUAACAGGUCUUCGGAUGCUGACGAGUGGCGAACGGGUGAGUAAUACAUCGGAACGUGCCUAGUAGUGGGGGAUAACUACUCGAAAGAGUGGCUAAUACCGCAUGAGAUCUACGGAUGAAAGCAGGGGAUCGCAAGACCUUGUGCCACUAGAGCGGCCGAUGGCAGAUUAGGUAGUUGGUGGGAUAAAAGCUUACCAAGCCGGCGAUCUGUAGCUGGUCUGAGAGGACGAUCAGCCACACUGGGAGGGAGACACGGCCCAGACUCCGACGGGAGGCAGCAGUCGGGAAUUUUGGGCGAUGGGGGCAAGCCUGAUCCAGCAAUGCCGCGUGCAGGAUGAAGGCCUUAGGGUUGUAGACUGCUUUUGUACGGAACGAAAAGCCCUGGGUUAAUAACCUGGGAUCAUGACGGUACCGUAAGAAUAAGCACCGGCUAACUACGUGCCAGCCGCCGCGGUAA
rnacentral:rRNA from 1 species